UCAGAUGACGUCACACACCCGCGGCGCUUGCGUGACGUAAGCCCUGCUCAGUAAGAAGGCUCCGCAGGUCGGCAGAGAACACCACCACUAAUGGGAAGACUGCCCCCUGACCGGCACAUGGCCUCAGCAUUCAUCCACAGAUGCUCCUCAAAUUGUUUUAAAAACAGCUUUUUUUAAAAGCUGUUUGUCUAUGAAGAUUAAAUGAGUUAAUAAUAUAAGCAAAGCACUUUGCAUGGCUACUGGGCACGGUGGUUCAUGCCUGUAAUUCCAGCACUUUGGGAGGCCGAAGCAGGUGGAUCACCUGAGGUCAGGAGUUCAAGACCAGCCUGAUCAACAUGGCGAAACCCUGUCUCUAUUAAAAAUACAAAAAAAAUAGCCGGGCAUGGUGGCACGUGCCUGUAAUCCCAGCUACUUGGGAGGCUAAGGCAGGAGAAUCGCUUGAACCUGGGAGGCAGAGGUUGCAGUGAGCCGAGACCUCGCCGUUGCACUCCAGCCUGGUUGACAGAGCAAGACUCUGUCUCAAAAAACAAAAAAACCCCAGCUUUUGUCCAGAGGUUGCUUUUUGUGGGUCUGUACGCUGAGGCCAAGUUCUAUGUAAGCAGAGCCCUCCCACCUCACCUCCAAACAAUGCCUCUAAACCAUCACAAUCUGAAAGGAAAAUAAAUCCCUUUCUUCAAUGGUGACCUGAAGCUAGCCAAGGACCGGGUGCUGGCAGGUGGCCUGCGAGACUGGGUCGGAUCCCGGGUUACUGUCUGAGGAGGGAUGCCGUGCUGUAAGGGUUGGGGAGCCAGUGUCUGGCUUCCUUGUCACCACAAGACCUGUGGUUUCCAGCUCUGUCUGCAUCCAGGUCCCACUAACCAACAGCAGGAGAGAAAACAGUUGUGCACACAGGCGGACGCGCACACGCGCACCUGGCCCCCCAGACGUGCACAGCCCUCAGAGGAAGUGGAGCACCAGAUGUUCUGGGUUUCCUGUUCGACGCUUCCACAGCUGGUCGAGUCUGUGGUUGUGGUUUGUCUGUCUCGGGCUCAUGUGAGAGACAAAAGCUGGGCUGACGGGAAACCUCUUCUCUCGGCCCCCACUCCCCAGCUCUGACUGAUUAGGAAACCUGGCAGGUCAGAAAUUUCCUGAAACACCCAGAGCUGGAUUCUCCCAAGAAGAAGCUGAACCCCCAACUCCCAUCCCUGAGGAGCAGCCCCUGGGCUGAUGAUCAGGACUUACAGAACCUGGGGCGAUGGAAACCUCUACAAAUAUCCCAUUUAGAAAGACCGCCAGCCCUGCCAACAGAAUGAAACGGAGGCCAGGUUGCUAUGGUCUCUACUCCAAUGCCUGACAUUGAGCCGCUGCUGCAAAACACUCAGCACAUGAAGGAAUGAAUGAGGAACAGAGAACUUCACCUUUGGGGGUUGGGUGUACAAGCCCCAACUGGGCCCCAAGUCCCAUAAAUAGCUUUGGAUUCCAACAUACAAGCAUUUGACGCAGCGAGGUGCUGCCGACUUGCUCUGUGACUUGGAGCAAGUCAUUUAGCCUCUCUGGGCCUGGUGUCCUCAUCUGCAGAAUGGAGAUGAUAAUAUCUACUUCACAAAGGUGUGAAGGCCCUGUGAGACACCGCAUGUGGAUUUCCUCGACAUUGUUUGCCCAUCGUAACUGCUCCAGAGAGGCUGGGCUCCCUUUUCUCGUUGCAACACUGCUGUUUAUUUCAGGAGAUACUCUAAAAGGGAAGCAAGCUAAAACAAAGAACAACCAAAAACACUGAUCCCGGGACAACUGCCCGGCAGGACAGCAGAGCAAGGGUACUUGGUGCUCUUCGUUGGGGGGAUGUUGGGAGAAGGGGCUGGAGCCAUCCCAGGGUCUCCAGGCUCUGGAAGGGAGCACCCCAUGUCCUCCUCUGGGUGUGGAAUAGGGUGAGUGUCUUAGGGGUGGAGAGAGAACAGGCAGAGUGUGCUCUCACCCCUUAGCUCUGUAGUGAUUUUAAUGAUUAAGGCUACUGUUCGGUCUGCAUUUGGACCUGAGCAACAGGGACCCCUGCCCAGAGGUCCAUCCUUCAGCAGCGUGCACUGCAUCCCCCUCCACUGCAGCUGACUCUAUGAGAUGAAGCAUCUGUCGCUCAGUGUAGCCAUCAGGUCCACUGCCCCUGAAAUAUGACUGACUAGGUUCAAAUGUUGACUCUGACACUUAGAAGCUGUGCCACCUUGGGGCAAGUUACUUCAUCUCUCUGUGCCUUACUUUCUUCCUUUAUAAAAUGGGUAAAAUAAUAACCACACCAUCGGUUGUCUAUGAAGAUUAAAUGAGUUGAUAAUAUAUGCAAAGCACUUAGCAUGGCUACUGGCACAAGGGUCAGUAAACGUUAACUGUUCCACACA
rnacentral:lncRNA from 1 species